AACGAACGCUGGCGGCAUGCCUAACACAUGCAAGUCGAACGAGACCUUCGGGUCUAGUGGCGCACGGGUGCGUAACGCGUGGGAACAUGCCCUUAGGUUCGGAAUAACUCCCCGAAAGGGGUGCUAAUACCGGAUCAUGUCUUCGGACCAAAGAUUUAUCGCCUUUGGAUGGGCCAGAGUUGGAUUAGCUAGUUGGUAGGGUAAAAGCCUACCAAGGCGACGAUUCAUAGCUGGUCUGAGAGGAUGAUCAGCCACACUGGGACUGAGACACGGCCCAGACUCCUACGGGAUGCAGCAGUGGGGAAUGUUGGACAAUGGGCGAAAGCCUGAUCCAGCAAUGCCGCGUGAGUGAUGAAGGCCUUAGGGUUGUAAAGCUCUUUUACCCGGGAUGAUAAUGACAGUACCGGGAGAAUAAGCUCCGGCUAACUCCGUG
rnacentral:rRNA from 1 species